UACGAAGGGUGCAAGCGUUACUCGGAAUUACUGGGUGUAAAGGGUGCGUAGGUGGUUUGUUAAGUCUGCUGUGAAAUCCCCGGGCUCAACCUGGGAAUGGCAGUGGAUACUGGCAAGCUAGAGUGCGGUAGAGGGUAGUGGAAUUCCCGGUGUAGCAGUGAAAUUCGUAGAUAUUCGCAAGAACACCAGUGGCGAAGGCGGCUCACUGGCCCGGUACUGACGCUGAGGCGCGAAAGCGUGGGGAGCAAACAGG
rnacentral:rRNA from 1 species